UACGUAGGGCGCAAGCGUUGUCCGGAAUUAUUGGGCGUAAAGAGCGCGUAGGCGGCUAGAUAAGUCCGGUGUGAAAGUCACAGGCUCAACCUGUGAAUGCCGCUGGAAACUGUCUGGCUAGAGUCCGGAAGGGGCGAGUGGAAUUCCACGUGUAGCAGUGAAAUGCGUAGAGAUGUGGAGGAACACCGAUGGCGAAGGCAGCCCCCUGGGUUAACACUGACGCUCAGGCACGAAAGCGUGGGGAGCAAACAGG
rnacentral:rRNA from 1 species